rnacentral:rRNA from 1 species
CUGCUGCCUUCCGUAGGAGUAUGGACCGUUCUCAGUUCCAUUGUGGCCGUUCAACCUCUCAGUCCGGCUACGCAUCAUCGCCUUGGUAGGCCCUUACCCCACCAACUAGCUAAUGCGCCACAGGCCCCUCCUUAAGCAGAUCUCUCUUUUAAAUAUAAAAGAUUCUUCCUCUAUAUCCUAUCCAGUUUUAUCCAUCGUUUCCAAUGGCUAUCCUCGUCUUAAGGGUAGGUUACCUAUGUAUUACUCACCCGUUCGCCACUAAACG